UGCGCAGGUGGGAAUGUAAGUCAGUGGUGAAAUACUGCCGCUUAACGGUAGAAUUGCCAUUGAUACUGCAUUUCUUGAGUAUGGUUGAGGUAGGCGGAAUGUGUCGUGUAGCGGUGAAAUGCAUAGACAUGACACAGAACGCCGAUUGCGAAGGCAGCUUACUAAGCCAUUACUGACACUGAGGCACGAAAGCGUGGGGAGCGAACAGGAUUAGAUACCCUGGUAGUCC
rnacentral:rRNA from 1 species